CACACAUCAUAAAAAGAAGCAAUAUGGCAUUUUCUACCCAUGUGGAAAGACCAAUUAUCCUAAACUAAGCCUGAGGUUUAAUACCUCUGCAUUUCUCAAAUGGUUCUCAUGACUCUUUCACUAUAAUUCUGCUGCUUUAUUUUUUCUUGUACUGAGAAAAGAGAACUAACUAAGGUCCUAUUUUUGUUCCCUUUUUCAUAGGUGAAGUAACUGGAGCUUAGAGAGAUUAUUUUGUCACUUUCCCGUGUCACAGCUUCCAGUGAUGGGGUUUGGCUCUGAAGCCACAGGGUGGCUGUCUGCACCUUUCAACUCAACUCUGGAUCACUGCCUCCCACCCAUCAGUCCUUCACCUCUGCCUUGUCUUCACCUCUCACAGGCUGCUGGCCAGAAACCAAUGUGGGUAACAUGCCUGUGAAAUGUGCUGCCUCAGUUGUUGGUGGAAGGACUUCAUGAGUCAGAAUGGAAGGCUUUCCUAGGACCAGCCAACAAACUGCAUUUCCAGGUAGGUUUUCAGGAUGCAAUUUCAUAGGGAGUAAGAAUGGCCUCAGGUCUAUGAGGCUAUAACAUUGAGUAAUUUCUGCAUUUCCAAAGGUGGUGAGAAAUUUCUAUCCUGGAACUUAAUUUUCUUCCCCUGGAGUCUGUUCCUAGCCAAUUGCUGUAAAAGGUGCUGCCAUCACCCAGUCACUUGAGCCAACAGCCUCCCAGUCAACCAUGGUUCUCUUCUUUUCAUGACGCCUCUCCCUAUCCUAUCCAUCAGCAAGUACCCUCGGUCCUACCUCUGAAUUCGACCUUCAGUCUCCCUACCUCCGUCCACAUCCAUCCAUUUGCAUGACCACCACCACCGUGUCUCAUUUGGCCUACUGCCCCCUAGUGGUUUCCCGCCUCCACUGCAUGCCUUUUGAUCAUUCAUUCUGUAAAUGUCAAAGAAAACAGAUCACAUCAUACUGCUGCUGAAAACUCCUGGACACUACACCUGCACCUGUAGUAACCCACGAGGCCCUGCCUGACGUGGUCUCAGUGUAUCUCUGCAGCUGCAUCUUGCCCCUCCAUACCUCACUCGACCCCAGCCACAUUGAUCUUCAGGUUUCUAAGCAUCCCGCAUAUUUCUGUUUUGCAAAUGCUGCUCUCUUGCCUAGCUCUUUCAUCUCCUCUCCUUUAAAUGCCCAGCUUGUUUUUGUCCCGCAAGUCUCAGCUCAUUCCCCACUUUCUCAGAGGUGUCUUCUGUGAGUGUUCUAGCUAAAGUAGACCCCGCUGUCAAUCACCAUCUCAGCCCUUUGUUUCUUUCUUUCACAACCCGUUAUCACGAGUUGAAAUUAUUCUGCAUAUCUGACAUUGUUUUUGUUUGACCUUCUUCUGUAGAAUAAUAGGGAUUAUACUUGUAUUGUUCACCAUUGUAUUUCCAGGGUGCAGCUUAG
rnacentral:lncRNA from 13 species